rnacentral:rRNA from 1 species
UACGGGGGGAGCAAGCGUUGUUCGGAUUUACUGGGCGUAAAGGGCGCGUAGGCGGCCACCGCAAGUCAAUUGUGAAAUCUCCGGGCUUAACUCGGAAAGGUCAACUGAUACUGCGGGGCUAGAGUGCAGAAGGGGCAACUGGAAUUCUCGGUGUAGCGGUGAAAUGCGUAGAUAUCGAGAGGAACACCUGCGGCGAAGGCGGCUUUCUGGUCUGUAACUGACGCUGAGGCGCGAAAGCGUGGGGAGCAAACAGG